rnacentral:rRNA from 1 species
AGUGAACGCUGGCGGUAGGCCUAACACAUGCAAGUCGAACGGCAGCACAGUAAGAGCUUGCUCUUACGGGUGGCGAGUGGCGGACGGGUGAGGAAUACAUCGGAAUCUACUUUUUCGUGGGGGAUAACGUAGGGAAACUUAUGCUAAUACCGCAUACGACCUACGGGUGAAAGCAGGGGAUCUUCGGACCUUGCGCGAUUGAAUGAGCCGAUGUCGGAUUAGCUAGUUGGCGGGGUAAAGGCCCACCAAGGCGACGAUCCGUAGCUGGUCUGAGAGGAUGAUCAGCCACACUGGAACUGAGACACGGUCCAGACUCCUACGGGAGGCAGCAGUGGGGAAUAUUGGACAAUGGGCGCAAGCCUGAUCCAGCCAUACCGCGUGGGUGAAGAAGGCCUUCGGGUUGUAAAGCCCUUUUGUUGGGAAAGAAAAGCAGCAGGUUAAUACCCCGCUGUUCUGACGGUACCCAAAGAAUAAGCACCGGCUAACUCCGUG